GUAAGCCGCGAGCAUUUUAAUAGGCUACAACGAGGGAUGUUAGUUUUAUGACUGCAAGGAAUUGCAGUGGGAAGAGGUGGAUGGAGCAGAGGAGGAAGGCCCACUGGCCUCACUACUAGGAAGAGUUAUGUUGGGCCAAUUGUUCUUCUUAGCCUUAAACUGUUUCACCACCAGGUGCUCUGGCCAAAAUUUGGAAGAGCAGAUGGUCUCGAAUUGAGUUGGAGAUACGCUAAUCUUGACAGAAGCUAUCUCCCUUGCAUAAGAGAAAUUAAACUUCUUCACCUUUAAGCCAUCGGCUUUUAUUUUGCUUUGAUUAAAAGCAGUUACAUCAUUAGAUGUGAGGUCAGGGGCAAGCCGAGAGACAAAAACUUGCCGCUUUGGUGGGACUCCCACCAGAGGUUUUGGCACGGGACGUUUAUUGGUUGGUGCGAUCAAUAUAGAAGCGAUACAUAAGGGGCUUGGAGCGGACUCGACAGACACGGACGCUACAGUACUAACUGGCUGCAUGUUCUCGAAGAUGAUCGAUUCGGUAGCCGAAAUUUGAUCACCAGCAGCUGUAGUUGCCCUUGGAGUUGCAAACGAAAUUAGCUGCUGCACUAUCGGAGUGGACGGAGACAAUUGAUCAGCAGCGAGCGGUCGAGGUGCAGGAACUUGCAGAUCACGAGGAGUGACUUUUUUGCGCCUAGGAGACUCAUUCAGCAGCUUAAAACCGCUGAGUUGAGACUCCAUGGCUAGAAGCCGAUCGUACUGCUUUUUAAAGCCCACGGUCAGCUCCUUAAAGCCCUUUCGCGUCUGGAACUGGAAAACACUCCCCGACACAGGAUAACAUCCAAUUACGAGUGUGGCCAUCACAAUGGGCAGUACUGCCUCCGU
rnacentral:lncRNA from 1 species